AUGGACUGAGUGAGACUGCUUUCCAAAAGAAAUUGGAGGUGGAUUUCACACUGCCCAACACGGCCCGGAUUGGGUACUGAUGAUGGCCCCUCUGAGGUGGGGGGUUGGAAACAAUCAUAUAUUUUUUUCUCUCAGCAGCUGAAUGGUAUGAAGGUGGCAAAAUGAGUCACAGAAGAAACCAAACUGAUAAUUAAGCCCUAAAGAAUGACUGUCCACAGCUAUAGCAACUCAAAGGCAGCGAGUGACUAAAAGCAACAGAGACAGGAGCUGCUUGUGACUUCUCAAGUCAAUGUUUUGCUCACUAACCAAGCCAUAACCUCAUGGAAAUCUGCCCAUUAGCUUUUCAGUUAUGGGGGAGAAAUCAGAAAUCUGUAUCUUCUGCUGACCUAGGACAAGAUGGGCUUGUGUAGGAGGUAAA
rnacentral:lncRNA from 1 species